GGGGGAUAACGCAGCGAAAGCUGUGCUAAUACCGCAUACGAUCUAUGGAUAGAAAGCGGGGGACCUUCGGGCCUCGCGCGAUUGGAGCGGCCGAUGUUAGAUUAGGUAGUUGGUGAGGUAAAGGCUCACCAAGCCUACGAUCUAUAGCUGGUCUGAGAGGACGACCAGCCACACUGGAACUGAGACACGGUCCAGACUCCUACGGGAGGCAGCAGUGGGGAAUUUUGGACAAUGGGCGAAAGCCUGAUCCAGCAAUACCGCGUGCAGGAAGAAGGCCUUCGGGUUGUAAACUGCUUUUGUACGGAACGAAACGGUCUAGAUUAAUACUCUGGGCUAAUGACGGCACCGAAAGAAUAAGCACCGGCUAACUACGUGCCAGCAGCCGCGGUAAUACGUAGGGUGCAAGCGUUAAUCGGAAUUACUGGGCGUAAAGCGUGCGCAGGCGGUUUUGUAAGACAGGCGUGAAAUCCCCGGGCUCAACCUGGGAAUUGCGCUUGUGACUGCAAGGCUAGAGUACGGUAGAGGGGGGUAGAAUUCCGCGUGUAGCAAUGAAAUGGGUAUAUAUGCGGAGGAACACCGAUGGCGAAGGCAGCCCUCUGGACCUGUACUGACACUUAUGCACGAAAGGGUGGGGAGCAAAAAGGAAUAGAUACCCUGGUAGUCCACGCCCUAAAACAUAGUCACUGGUUGUUGGGAAAUUUCUUUCCCAAAUACCAAGCUAACCCCUGAAGUUGACCCCCUGGGGAGCACCGCCCCAAGGUUGAAACUCAAAAGAAUUGGCGGGGAACCCCCCAAGCGGGGG
rnacentral:rRNA from 1 species